rnacentral:rRNA from 1 species
GGUUAAGCUAGAAAGGGCGCACGGUGGAUGCCUUGGCACUAGGAGCCGAAGAAGGACGGGACGAACACCGAUAUGCCUCGGGGAGCUGUAAGUAAGCAUUGAUCCGGGGAUUUCCGAAUGGGGGAACCCACCAUCCGUAAUGGGAUGGUAUCCAUAUCUGAAUACAUAGGAUAUGAGAAGGCAGACCCGGGGAACUGAAACAUCUAAGUACCCGGAGGAAGAGAAAGCAAAUGCGAUUUCCUGAGUAGCGGCGAGCGAAACGGAAUCAGCCCAAACCAGAGGGCUUGCCCUCUGGGGUUGUAGGACACUCUAUACGGAGUUACAAAGGAACGGGGUAGAUGAAGCGGUCUGGAAAGGCCGGCCAAAGAAGGUAACAGCCCUGUAGUUGAAACCUCGUUCCCUCCAGAGUGGAUCCUGAGUACGGCGGGACACGUGAAACCCCGUCGGAAUCCGGGAGGACCAUCUCCCAAGGCUAAAUACUCCCUAGUGACCGAUAGUGAACCAGUACCGUGAGGGAAAGGUGAAAAGCACCCCGGAAGGGGAGUGAAAGAGAUCCUGAAACCGUGUGCCUACAAGUAGUUGGAGCCC